AGUGCGCGCCUUUAUACGGUGAAACCGCGAAUGGCUCAUUAAAUCAGCUAUGGUUUAUUGGAUCGUACCCGUUAAAUGGAUAACUGUAAUAACUCUAGAGCUAAUACAUGCCACGAUGCCCUGACCCGCAAGGGAAUGGGUGCACUUAUUAGAUCAGAAGCCAACCGAGUGUCAGUGCCUCAGUGCACUGGUGCUUGUUGUCGUUCUGGUGACUCUGGAUAAUUGUUACAGAUCGCAGUCGGCCUUGAGUCGGCGACGGGUCCUUCAAAUGUCUGCCCUAUCAACUUUCGAUGGUAGGUGACCUGCCUACCAUGGUUAUAACGGGUAACGGGGAAUCAGGGUUCGAUUCCGGAGAGGGAGCCUGAGAAACGGCUACCACUUCUAAGGGAGGCAGCAGGCGCGCAAAUUACCCACUCCCGGUACGGAGGUGGU
rnacentral:rRNA from 1 species